CCUACGGGGGGCAGCAGUGGGGAAUAUUGGACAAUGGGGGGAACCCUGAUCCAGCCAUGCCGCGUGUGUGAAGAAGGCCCUCGGGUUGUAAAGCACUUUCAGUGAGGAAGAACGCCUGGUGGUUAAUACCCAUCAGGAAAGACAUCACUCACAGAAGAAGCACCGGCUAACUCCGUGCCAGCAGCCGCGGUAAUACGGAGGGUGCGAGCGUUAAUCGGAAUUACUGGGCGUAAAGCGCGCGUAGGUGGCUUGAUAAGCCGGUUGUGAAAGCCCCGGGCUCAACCUGGGAACGGCAUCCGGAACUGUCAAGCUAGAGUGCAGGAGAGGAAGGUAGCAUUCCCGGUGUAGCGGUGAAAUGCGUAGAGAUCGGGAGGAAUACCAGUGGCGAAGGCGGCCUUCUGGACUGACACUGACACUGAGGUGCGAAAGCGUGGGUAGCAAACAGGAUUAGAUACCCUGUAGUC
rnacentral:rRNA from 1 species